rnacentral:rRNA from 1 species
AUCACUCGGCUCGUGAUCGAUGAAGACGCAGCUAAACGCGCGUCAGAAUGUGAACUGAGGACACAUGAACAUCGACACGUUGAACGCAUAUGGCGCAUCGGACGACUCAACCCGACCGAUGCACACAUCCUUGAGUGCCUAC